UGUGGUUGUGCAUGCAAGCAUGUCAAAGCCCAACGCGUCCCUCUCUAUUUUCUCCUUCUCUUAUUUCUUUCCUUUUUAUUGAAGGCUGUUUUUUCUAUUAUUUUCUUUCUUCCUUGUGUUUAUCCAUUUAUUUUUUCUUUCCAUUUGUUCCUUUAUUUAAUUCCAACACUUUGCCUUAUCGUGUUCCGUUUCUUUUUUCUUCUUCUUUUUUCAUUCUAUUCAUUUCCUUCCAUGUUUUUUCUUCUUUCAUGUUUACCUUUUCCCUUCUUAUGUCAAUGUGAUUUUGCCCUUUCUGUUUCCUUGUGUUUAGGUAGUUAUUUUGUAUCAAAUUAGUUUUGUGAGUUCUCAUACAAAUUGUUUUAGAUAUAUUUCCUCUGUCCCAUAAAAUUUAUUUAUAUGUACAUAUUUAUUCUCUAUAUAAAAUUAUCUAUUCACGUGUGUGUAUAUAUUUUGUUCACAUUUACAGAUUUAUUUGUUCAUGAUGUUAUUAUAUUUCUUUGAUUUAUAUACUAAAUUGUUC
rnacentral:lncRNA from 1 species